GUGGGGAAUUUUGGACAAUGGGCGCAAGCCUGAUCCAGCCAUUCCGCGUGCAGGAUGAAGGCCUUCGGGUUGUAAACUGCUUUUGUACGGAACGAAAAGCCUCUGGUUAAUACCCGGGGGUCAUGACGGUACCGUAAGAAUAAGCACCGGCUAACUACGUGCCAGCAGCCGCGGUAAUACGUAGGGUGCAAGCGUUAAUCGGAAUUACUGGGCGUAAAGCGUGCGCAGGCGGUUUUGUAAGACAGUGGUGAAAUCCCCGGGCUCAACCUGGGAACUGCCAUUGUGACUGCAAGGCUAGAGUGCGGCAGAUGGGGAUGGAAUUCCGCGUGUAGCAGUGAAAUGCGUAGAUAUGCGGAGGAACACCGAUGGCGAAGGCAAUCCCCUGGGCCUGCACUGACGCUCAUGCACGAAAGCGUGGGGAGCAAACAGGAUUAGAUACCCUAGUAGUCC
rnacentral:rRNA from 1 species